rnacentral:rRNA from 1 species
UACAGAGGGUGCAAGCGUUGUUCGGAAUUACUGGGCGUAAAGCGUGCGUAGGCGGUUCGUUAAGUCUGUUGUGAAAGCCCCGGGCUCAACCUGGGAAUGGCCGUUGAAACUGGCGAACUGGAGUGUGGCAGAGGGGGUGGAAUUCCGCGUGUAGCAGUGAAAUGCGUAGAGAUGCGGAGGAACACCGAUGGCGAAGGCAGCCCCCUGGGCUGACACUGACGCUCAGGCACGAAAGCGUGGGGAGCAAACAGG